rnacentral:rRNA from 1 species
UACGUAGGGUGCGAGCGUUGUCCGGAAUUAUUGGGCGUAAAGAGCUCGUAGGCGGUGUGUCGCGUCGGCCGUGAAAACCUGCAGCUUAACUGUGGGCUUGCGGUCGAUACGGGCAUCACUGGAGUUCGGCAGGGGAGACUGGAAUUCCUGGUGUAGCGGUGAAAUGCGCAGAUAUCGGGAAGAACACCCGUGGCGAAGGCGGCUCUCUGGGACGGUACUGACGCUGAGACGCGAAAGCGUGGGGAGCGAACAGG